rnacentral:misc_RNA from 1 species
GAUGAAGAACGAAGCGAAAUGCGAUAAGUAAUGUGAAUUGCAGAAUUCAGUGAAUCAUCGAAUCUUUGAACGCACAUUGCGCCCGCUAGUAUUCUGGCGGGCAUGCCUGUCCGAGCGUCAUUUCAACCCUCAAGCCCCCGGGCUUGGUGUUGGGGAUCGGCGAGCCUCCGCGCCCGCCGUCCCCUAAAUCUAGUGGCGGUCUCGCUGUAGCUUCCUCUGCGUAGUAGCACACCUCGCACUGGGAAACAGCGCGGCCACGCCGUUAAACCCCCAACUUCUGAACGUUUGACCUCGGAUCAGGUAGGAAUACCCGCUGAACUUAAGCAUAUCAAUAAGCGGAGGA